rnacentral:misc_RNA from 1 species
CGUAUCACAAAAAAAGUCGCACACUCAUCGCUGAGUGAUUUGCUUGUGCAGCAUGGAGGGUUUUGCGGUGAUGUCUGACGCUGCUGCGGACGCGCCCAUGAAGGAGAAAGAUGCUCAUCUGACGAACCUAAUUAUCGAGAAGCGCGCGGCGGCAAGGCAGAUAGAGGGGUUGAAGGCUGAGAUAGCGGACCUGCGAGCGCAACUUCAACGGGCAACAUCCCGGGGAGUGCUUCCCUACGAUGAAGGACUCUCACCCACCCCUGCCAAGGAAAAAGCAGCGCUAAAAAAUACACCAACAGAGGAGAUAUCGAUUUGGAAUGCAGAACUUAUCCACACAGUAGAACAACUGCAGCGCUCACUCAUUCAGCUGGAAGCGGACUCGAAGGCGCAGCUCAUUACCCUUACCGAUCGCCUGAACCAGAUGAGGAAGGAGAACGAGAGGCUGCUGCACGAGAACGAUUCGCUCAAGGCCCGCAUCGGGGACGACGUCUUGCGGCAGCGACAAACAAAUCGUAUCGAAGUGGCGUUUGAGCGCUGUCGCAUCGCCGCGCGAGUGCGGGCAGCCGGACUUCAGCGACUCGAAGCAGCAGAGGCGAACUUGAUGGAGGCUCACGAUGAUGUGUAUCAUGUGCAACGCUGGGACGCAAUGCUGCUUCCUCAGCGCGACGUCUCCUUCGUUUUUCACUUUGUCUCAAAUGUGACAUAUCCUCUGGGUGACAUCGAGGAGCUCAUCAUGAGGGUAUAUCAGCAGUUUCUCUUCCACAGCAGCUCCUGCUGUCGUGGCUACCGCGUGGGAUUCUAUAAAAGCAUGGAGGUGUUUGCGUUCCAGGCGCCGUCUGACGCGCUUCUGUUUGCAAAGGAGUGCCACGAGCAGCUGGUGCGUCUCUCGUGGUUUUCGUGCAUUGAGAAUAUGCCUUCGUUCUCCACCAUCGCUGAAAACAACAAGGUGCUGUACAAAGGGCCCCGCAUUCACACCUGCAUCUUUACAUGCUCACCAGAGUCGUACGUAGACCCUGUCUCCGGAAAGUACGCCUUUUUCGGACCGGAGGUGGUGGAAGCAGUUCAGGCCGCGAUUGAGCAAUGUCCCAUUGGCGAAAUUGUGGUUAAUGAGAAGUGGUCGCAGCUCAUGUGCAUGCAGUCACGAAUGCGAGAGGAUCGAUCGGCGCCGACCGAGAGCAACGUGGCCGAGCUGCGCGAGUGUCUGGGGCCUAUGUGGAACGUUGUGGGGCUCCCUGGUGCGCAUCAUAUCAUUGCCUCGAUCCUGCCAUCAGGACUGCGCAGUCGCCGUGGAGUGGAAGCAUCCGUGCUGUACCCGAGCCGCAAAUACCCGUGCUUGGAGAUGAAAGACAGCGCCUCUGUGGUGCGCAUGGUGGUCAAGAGAAUGAAAGGAAUGCUCCCUGACACCUUCGAAGGCCCAGAGGAGGGCCGCCAAAAGUCGAACGGGGGUGGUGAUGUCAUUCUGCAACAGAUGCGACGCCGCGCGAACUUUUGGCAUGACGCUGUCGCCAAGGCGCCUUUGCAUACCUCGAUUCAGCAGCCGAACACCGAGUUCUCGGAUAGCGCCGCUAAGCUGCUGGAACUUUUUGUGGUGCAGAAAGAAAAUAGCAAUCUCGUAGCACUCUAUCGCAAGACGGAGGCUGCUAGCGCGGCGCUAGAGCGGAACAUGAUGGAGUCCGAAGACCGUUUUGAGAUCAGGAAGCACAAAACACUGCACCCGUCGGAGACAGCCUACAUCUGCACCAUCGACACAGGUGAUGAGAGUAUCUGGAAGCGGCUACUUCUGAAGAGCAUCUCGGAUGAGCAGUUUGAGUCGAUUCAGAAUACCAUCCGUGGUGACGUCCAUAACGCCGCCAAGGUGCACUUUGGAUUCCUUAUGAGCGGCAACUACUCUGAUGUGUUCACGUACGUGUUUCGCGAGGUGGAGCAAGCCCUCGCAUUUGUGUCUGAAAUGUACAUCAAGGUCAACCGCACAGGCACAAAGUACGCCCACACGUCGCUGGGUAAGGGUCGCGAUAUCUUCCUGUUCCGCGCCGGUGUGGCGAGCGGGCCCAUGACCUCCAUUUACCGCAACCUAGAAAACGGCGUGCUCAAGUGCACCGGUCCGGCCAUUCGCCUCUCCGGUACUCUGUGCGACCUCGCCAAAAGCGGAGAGAUUCUUGCCAUGGAGGACGUUAUCCGCAGCUUCUACUCGAAGAAAGAGAACUUGCUUGAUACACAGUAUAUCGUGAAUCAAAGGCCUCAGUUCAUCGGCUCCCACGACGCCCCGGCGGUGGUGCACUCGGUCCUGCCCAAGCCGUUUGCAUACCGUCACAAGCAGCUGCGCAGCUUUGGGAAGGCCGCCAUGCAGAACAAGAAUCUGUACCUACCCUACCGUUCCGUCCUGGCAGCGCUGACGCUGCGCCGGGAUGAGCUGCCUCGACAGGGUGUGCUCGACAUGAUGGAGCAGCAGCAGCGCCGACUGGAACUUGGUGAGAUGGCCCGCAUGUGCGCCGAGGACAACUACGAGCGUGGCUGGCAGGUCAGCACGGCGACGAUCUCGCCGCUGCGCAGCCCGUGGUUGCUGCUGUGCCAGCCUCAGGCAGAGGAGCAAUCGGAGAACGUGCCUGCACGUCGCCGUUCCGUGCGGUUUCGAACGAUGGAAGAGGUAGAGGCGGACCUUAUGUACGUUCGGCGCUCGACGAAACCCCUGGCGUUUCUCUACUGCGACGUCGCCGGUGCUGGCGCGAUCGCCCGGUCUGUAGCGCCACCCCUCCUAAGGCUAGUCUGGGCACACUACAACUACAUUGUGCAGAGCGCUGUGCGCAACUUUAGCGGCUACGUGGCGAAGACAAACUCCACGACUUCGUACCUGGUGGUGUUCGAGGAGCCUACCAUGGCGCUUGAGGCGGCGCGGCAAAUCCAGCUAGAGAUGGUCGGAUCGAUGUGGCCAGAGGAGCUGCGCGUGCUGGAAUCGACGCUGCAUGUGAAGGACAUAAAAUCCCGCACGGUACUUUUCAACGGACCUCGCCCUCAGAUCGCCGUGCAUGUGUCGGACCAGUACACGUGGUGCUUCAUCUCUCCCUCGUCUUCGCCUGCAGCUCUCACGCGCGACGCCAGCAGCAAGGCCACGCGUGAGGACGGCACCGAUGGUGGUAGCCCUACCGCUGAGACCUUGAGCGUUGUUCAUAUCAGGGGUGUUGGUGUGGUUGAGACCUUUGUGCUAGGCCUGCACGCGCAUGGUGGUGAGAUACGCCUGAGCCGAUCGCUGCUAAACGCAGUGGGCGCGCACCCGAGUGGAAAACUGCUGCUGGCGCAGCUGAAGAUGGAGUUGGUGGUGACGCCGGGCGUGAUUCACUCAGUCGAAGGUGCCAAGGGGAAGAGUAGCACCACAACGGAGGAGACCGAGAAGAUACAGGGCAAUAGCGAGCCGAAGGCUGUGAAAGCGAACGUCUUCGCCGAGGAGUGCGUGGCUUCUGUGCCGCGGCGGCUCGAGGGUCGCUUGGCGCUGAUACUGCCGUCGACGAGCACCGCCUUUGGUGUUGCCAAGCGCACCGAGGCGGCCUUAGCGAUGGCAACAGCCUCGGCGGCUGAAGGCAAUGCGGAGAGCACAAGCGGCGAGGAUGAUGGUGCAGUCCCGGCUGACGACACCGGGAAGCUCGAGUCAGCCACACCCGCGGCUGUCACGACGGAAACGACAGGCCUCGCAUCGGCAACGCUUCCCAGGGCCAUAGUGCUGCCAGCGGCUAUGAUGGCGCAGCAUGCGUGGCUUGUAGAGCCCGAAGAAUCCUUCAACCCCCUGCCAGCUGCGUCGCACUCGGACUGGAGCACUGUGACGCCGCAGCCGGCUAACAGCCUCAACGAUCUCGGCUUCUUGGAGGAGACGAGUAGGAUUCGGGCAGCGCUGCAGGAAUUGCUCAAGAUGUUUCCCUCGGCGCAGCUGCUGGCCCAGGCGGUGGAGGGCGCGCCAGACGAGUCUGCGAGUGAGUUGCCGGCUGAGCACCAGGCUGACAGCUCCACCAAUGCGGUCGCCGGUGGCGCACCAGGAAAAAAGACGAGUACCGAAAAUCGCUCGUCCACUAAGAUUCCCGCACCGCCGACAUCGCUGUCUGCCGCGCGUGGAAGUGUAAACCUCACCCGGCGAUCGAAGGAAGCUGCACUAUCAAAGGCGUCUGCGACCUCCUCCGCGGCGCGUGUGGCUACUCGAGCUGCAGCCGUCGGACAGUAUGCGCUUUUCAUGGACUUUUCUAAGUAUCUCAUCACGGUGCUUCUGAACGCGCUUGAGAUCGGCGCUGACCAGCGCUCUCCACCUGCUCUGCCGCUGCCACGCUGCGGACAAAGCAGCAAGAUCACAGCUGUCGGCCCGCCACCUAUAUCUAGUGACAGUGACCUCUCAGGUCCUCCCGGUGGUAGUGCCGGCAGUACUUCGCAGAAGAACUCUCGUAGCGCCGUUAGCGGGCGGAUUCACGGCACAUCCUUUCGUGCCAUCGAGUGCUCGUCAUCGGGCAGCGCGCGCGAGUCGUGCUUCUCCUCUCUACCCGGCAUUUCGCCACCCAACUGGCGGCUUUUGAACAAGUCCCCCGCCGGGGCGCGUGCGAGCCUCACGUCCUCUUCUCUGAGCCGUGAGUCGGAGCCGCAGGAAAUGGGCGCCUCCGACUCACUCUGUGAGGGCUUCAAGGUCAGCCCCGAGCGACCGUUCCUAAGCGCCCUCGACUACCUCGAUGGUGCAUGUCGCACGCUAGCACAGUUGUCAGGCAUCGAGCUGGGCAAACUGGCAAAGAUCCCAGCAGCACCGCUAUCGAAGUCCAAGACAUUUCCGUUCCGAUCCAGCAGCGCACGGCGUCACUGACAUGAUGGCGCUGGAGCGCGCAAGUGUUUAUAGACGGUAGUUGAGGUGAUGAUGGUGUGGGCAGCGCCAAGGGUAUAUAAAGCCUGUAAAGCCGCCUGAAGAGCGUGAAGUGAGAGCGGAACGGGCCGCAGAAAGCACUUAGUUAGGCGAGGGGGAAGGGAAGAGGGCUGCUGGCGUGGAAAAAUGCUUGGGGGUGUCUAGUGUACGCAAACGUCGCCUCCUCUGCCGCGAUGGAUUCCCCUAUCCUGUAUCCAUCACAUACUUGGCCCUCCGGUCCACCUGGGUCUUUCUUUUUUUUUUGUGCGUGUGUGGGAGGGGGCAGGGGGGGCUUUUGAGAGGUUUCUUUUUGAGCUUUUUAUCUUGGUUUUCGUUUCCAGUGCCGCGAGCGCACCGAUGUACAGCAUAAUGCACAUGCAGCCCCCUGCCACUCCCUUCUGCGCGACUCACACCGCUCGUGGCAAUCAAGAGAGGUGGUGCGUUGAUGUGGUCCGUUUGUGUGAGAAGACGACGGUGGUUGGAAUGGAAGCGGCGGCGUUGAUGGUCUGUGUUUUUUCUUUUUUUUCUUCGUAUGCCUGUUGAUGUAGAUCGCUUGUUAUGUACGGGGUGGUUGUGUGCAUUGUGUCUUGAUUUGGCUUGCUCUACGCCCUCCUCCGUCCCCAUCUCCCUCCUCAUCCCACCACCCAUUCACGGUGCGGCAUUGGCUUUCUCGCUUGUCGUUUAUUUUUUGUUUUUGCGAGGGAUUUCCUUUUUGUGACACAUGCCGCACCGAUGCAGAUGCCGCUGUACAAGAAAAUUGGCACCCAUAUUCACUAGGGCUGGCCCCGCAUGCUGUGUCGCUGAGGGUGACUUUGAUCGUGGUAUGUCUUUUCAGUGAUAGACAGUGGAUGUCGUUGCAACAACAACAAAAGGGUAGCAAGCGCAACAGAGAGCCCCUCACUCCCUUUCUCCUUUCCCUUUCUCUGAUCGCCCGCUCCCUCUUCGGGUCCGCACCGCAUCCUUCCCGCAUUCGUUUAUCUUCUGCCUUUUUCUUCGUUCUCUCUCCCCUAUUCCUUUGCGCUCAUGUCUCCCCUUUGUAUGCAUACAUGCCUCUUUUCAUUGUUUUGAUGAUCGUGCCCUCACCUGCGCAGCACGUAGUGCAUAUUCUUUAUGUUGCGCUCUUCAACUUCCGCUCCCCCCCCUCUCUCCCCUCCCUCUGUGAGAGGAAAAGCGUGACGCAUAGAUACGCUCGUCCUGUAUGUUGUUCAUAGCUCUCAGUUCCUGGUGGUGUCUUACCCACUCCCGACAGCCAAAACCGCAAACGAGAAGGCGAGACCGUCCAUGCGAAGAAGAGACACUGGGCGAGUACACGAGUGCGCGGGACUCGGCACCGUAUACGCAUUCCACUUUCAUUGUUUCUGGAUUGUCGGCACGUGACGUGUUUUUGACGUCCUUUGCAAGCGUGGUUGUUGUCUCGCGUGUUCGUCAUCGCUGCGCUCACAGACUCCUCCUUGCGUGUAAGCGACUGUGUUAAAUACAGGUUUUGCCGCUCAUCACCCUCGGCAAGUGUCGAUGACAGUGUCGAGAGGGACCUGGGUCUUGAGCACAAUGCGUGUGUAUGGACCUCAGAGAAGCACCCCCCCUCCUCUCUCCCUCAAUCGGCGCGCGCAUCUGAAUGCCUCCGUGGGACUUUCUUUCUUUAUCCUCCCUCUUCUCUCGCA